rnacentral:lncRNA from 1 species
UAACGGUCCGAUCCAGGUUUCGCGGAUACCGAUACAGCAGCCACUUUGAAAAACGCCUUAUGAGCGUUCAGACGUUGCCAAAUUUCCUUUCAUAAAGUGCGAAUUCCCAGAAAAAUUUGGGGCUACUGUUCCUCCAAUUUUUCAGAGAAAUUCACCCGUGAAUAGAUCUGAAGUACGUCGAAAUUUCAAGGCGAAAUAUUCAUAACUUCUCUCAGAAAUCAAUGCUUUCCCAGGAGAGACGUGGCAACAUCCACAGGUUCAUACGGUGUUUUUCCUUAACGCGGCAUCACCGUAAGGUGCAGCGUGUCUUGGGUGUCUUAUCCUCGGCCCAGGUGCAAUCAAAGGAGACAUGCGUGGUAUUAGCCGCGCCGCUUUCAUUCGGCCCUCCUCCAGGUACUGAUUUCCGCGUCUCCUUGUUUGCUCCAUCUCAAAGCGUCCUCCCACCUCAACCGAGAAUUUUCUCAGAUUAUCAACCGUAGAACUUAGUCGCGAUUCCGAGGCCGCCCGCCGGACCAAAUACCCCGUUCGGUAUCUGAAAUAAGUGUAAACUGCGCGUUAUAUCAUAUCAACGCUUCUUAUCUACGGCCUUUGAUAAGAGAUUCGACCAUUUGCCUGUGUCGUCCGCGUCAAUUCGUCAGUCAGUGAAUCACCGCUAUUAUUUCCCCGGAAGGUAUUUUUACGUCGUGGUUUUUUGUGUUGGUUCGAGUUUGAGAUCAUCUAAAAUCGCAGUGUUAGAGUGUUUCACACAAUUUUUCGUGUUGCCACAAAAACUCCAUGUGUACGACGGUUAAACUGGUGACAAGAAGAACAUGGAGGAAACCGCCAAUUUAACGGAUUGCUCGACGUUCAGUCAGAACAGUGUCUCCACGUCGGACGGAACAAAUGGGUUCACUCCGCGCAGCAUACUUUUCCUGCUCAAGAAACACGACGAUAAUCUUAUCGCCAAAGCUAAGCCGUUACAAGAACACUUCAGCUGCUCCUUAAAUGUGGUUAUUAAGGAAAAAUUUGAAAUCGAUGACCCAUUAGAUAUUAUUGCAGAAACUCUAGUCGUAAUAGAUGAUUUUGAAGGUCCCCUUUUCGAACACCUUGAACAAAGAGUUCGCUCCUCUCCAAAGAUUAUUCAAGUCCGUGGACCUCCAGCCUUCAUCGAUGCCUGUGAUAAAUUAAGUUUAGAAACACGUAAAAGACCAUUGUUUUGUAAUGCAAUGACAUCAAUGGUUUUCUUCUGUGACGUUAAAAAUAAUAAAAGAAAAAAGAUCUUAUUGGUGCACCAAAUUAGGUAUAUGGGUGGUAGUGUGGUUCACCAUGUUGGCAGCAAAGUAACACACAUCAUCACCGAUCACUCAUCCACGGACGGAUAUGAAUAUGGGGGUACUUUCAACCUCCCUGUUAUAACGACCAAUUGGGUUUUCCAAUGUUGGUCUAAAGAAACGAAAUAG